CAUAAUAUUCAGAAGACAUGUGGCCUGUGACAAAAUGUAACCAAUGCUUACUUUGGUGGGCUGGGACAAAAAAGCCCAGUCAUUAUCUGGGCUCACUUCCAUAUCUCCCAUUGAAAUAAUUGGACCUGCCUCUUGUCUUCUAAAGGGGCAGAAACUAGCAACCAGUUGAUUUAUUUGUUGUUAAAAACGAGCUGACACAAACAUCUUUAUUUAUAUCUUGUUUCGUUUUUAUAACAAGUAAAGUGAAUAUUAACAAUAGUUAUGUUAAAAGGUUUACACAAAAGAUUUGUACUGUUUUUUCAUUGUUUAUACUCCAGUCCAGCAGGCGGCGCUAAUGUUCCGGCUGCUCACCGACAACAUUCAAAUGAAGCGGAAGUAGAACCAGCAGCCUCAUUUGGCCGCUAACCGCCUUCAGUAAAACAUCGUGGGAGAAAGUGGUCACUUUCAACAGGUGGGGCCACUCCUAGACUCUGCUUCGGUGCAAACAGGUGUUGAAGGAAAUGAAGCCCUUCAGACUCAACUUAAAUCAGGUCUUACGGAGUCGGAGCUGUUCUGCCUGCUGAAGGGUAUUCUAACAAUAAGCAGGUGGUUGUAGAGUUUCUUGGAAUUUUUUUUUUUUUUUAAAGCUCUAUUAUCCUGUAUUUUCUGAUUUAACCAAAUAAAGCUGCUUCUAAAACUUAA